UACGGAGGAUGCGAGCGUUAUCCGGGUUUAUUGGGUUUAAAGGGUGCGUAGGCGGAUCGUUAAGUCAGUGGUCAAAUUGAGGGGCUCAACCCCUUCCCGCCAUUGAAACUGGCGCUCUUGAGUGGAAGAGAAGUAUGCGGAAUGCGUGGUGUAGCGGUGAAAUGCAUAGAUAUCACGCAGAACCCCGAUUGCGAAGGCAGCAUGCCGGCUUCCGACUGACGCUGAAGCACGAAAGCGUGGGGAUCGAACAGG
rnacentral:rRNA from 1 species